rnacentral:rRNA from 1 species
AUUGAACGCUGGCGGCAUGCCUUACACAUGCAAGUCGAACGGUAACAGGUCUUCGGAUGCUGACGAGUGGCGAACGGGUGAGUAAUACAUCGGAACGUGCCUAGUAGUGGGGGAUAACUACUCGAAAGAGUGGCUAAUACCGCAUGAGAUCUACGGACGAAAGCAGGGGAUCGCAAGACCUUGUGCUACUAGAGCGGCCGAUGGCAGAUUAGGUAGUUGGUGGGAUAAAAGCUUACCAAGCCGACGAUCUGUGGCUGGUCUGAGAGGACGAUCAGCCACACUGGGACCGAGACACGGCCCAGACUCCUACGGGAGGCAGCAGUGGGGAAUUUUGGACAAUGGGCGAAAGCCUGAUCCAGCAAUGCCGCGUGCAGGAUGAAGGCCUUCGGGUUGUAAACUGCUUUUGUACGGAACGAAAAGCCCCGGGUUAAUACCCUGGGGUCAUGACGGUACCGUAAGAAUAAGCACCGGCUAACUACGUGCCAGCAGCCGCCGUAA